AUUCUGAAGUUCUUAAAUCGGCACGAUUGUUUUCCCAAUGCAAGUAUUGCAUGUUGAGUUAUGUUGACCACCUCCAUUACUGUUGCAUCAGCGGAACAAAGCUUUUCUAAAUUGAAGCUAUUGAAGUCCUAUAUGUGCACUACCAUGAACAAAGACAGAUUUGCCUACUUGAGAGUGAAGUAUUGGAAAAGAUUGAUUAUGGGGAUAUUAUUGAAGAUAUUAUUUAAAUGA
rnacentral:rRNA from 1 species